UUGCCAUUGCCCCUUUUCCUAAUCUAAAAAAAGGCAAGUUUUAAGUACCUUCAUAACAAAGUUCAUACCAAGCCUACAUGGGCAAAGAACAUGAAGAGGUAAAUUGCCAAUGAUGAGUGCAUCAUGAGACCAAAGUUUGUAAUAGAUACACACUCAUGGUGGAGUAGGGAUUGAAUCAUCUUGUCGGGACUGUGAUUUUAGAGUUCAAUCCCAUAUUUACC
rnacentral:lncRNA from 1 species